rnacentral:lncRNA from 1 species
GCUCAGUCACUGAAGGUGUGGCCUCCAGCUGCUGAUGGAGAUAUGAAAGUAUACAUAUGAAUAUGUGGAAACAUUGGAAUUAGGACCCUGUUAGAGGAAAAUUGGAGGAAGCCUCACACAGGCAAUCUUGAGCAACCUAUUACCAAGGAAGAGAUUCUACAGAGUCCUACAUUAAACAAAAUGGUAUAAAUGGAAACAUGUUGUAAGAUCUCUGUAAAGCACCAAGUAUACUCUAUAGAGACUGGCGUCUGAAAAAUCACCUGAGGUA